UGUGUUUUGUCCAGGUGGACCGACCAUGGA
rnacentral:piRNA from 1 species